GAGAGGUAACGGCUCACCAAGGCUUCGACGGGUAGCUGGUCUGAGAGGAUGAUCAGCCACACUGGAACUGAGACACGGUCCAGACUCCUACGGGAGGCAGCAGUGGGGAAUCUUGCACAAUGGGCGCAAGCCUGAUGCAGCGAUGCCGCGUGCGGGAAGAAGGCCCUAGGGUUGUAAACCGCUUUCAGGAGGGAAGAAAAUGGCGGUACCUCCAGAAGAAGGUGCGGCCAACUACGUGCCAGCAGCCGCGGUAACACGUAGGCACCAAGCGUUAUCCGGAUUUAUUGGGCGUAAAGAGCUCGUAGGCGGUUCAGUCAGUCGGGUGUGAAAACUUGGGGCUUAACCUCAAGAGGUCACUCGAUACUACUGUGACUAGAGUGCGGUAGGGGAGCGGGGAAUUCCUGGUGUAGCGGUGAAAUGCGCAGAUAUCAGGAGGAACACCAGUGGCGAAGGCGCCGCUCUGGGCCGUAACUGACGCUGAGGAGCGAAAGCAUGGGUAGCAAACAGGAUUAGAUACCCUGGUAGUCCAUGCCGUAAACGUUGGGCACUAGGUGUGGGUCUCAACCAACGAGAUCCGCGCCGUCGCUAACGCAUUAAGUG
rnacentral:rRNA from 1 species